CCUACGGGAGGCAGCAGUGGGGAAUAUUGCACAAUGGGCGAAAGCCUGAUGCAGCAACGCCGCGUGAAGGAAGAAGGGUUUCGGCUCGUAAACUUCUAUCAACAGGGACGAAAGAAAUGACGGUACCUGAAUAAGAAGCCCCGGCUAACUACGGGCCAGCAGCCGCGGUAAUAAGUAGGGGGCAGGCGUUAGCCGGAAUUACGGGGUGGAAAGGGGGAGGAGGGGGGAUGGGAAGCCUGAUGGGAAAGCCUUGGGCUUAACCCGAGGAUUGCAUUUGGAACUAUCAAGCUAGAGUACAGGAGAGGAAAGCGGAAUUCCUAGUGUAGCGGUGAAAUGCGUAGAUAUUAGGAAGAACACCAGUGGCGAAGGCAUCUCACGAAUCCGCGAUUGACGCUGAUGCACGAAAGCGUGGGUAUCAAACAGGAUUAGAUACCCCAGUAGUC
rnacentral:rRNA from 1 species